AGCAGCCGCGGUAAUUCCAGCUCCAAUAGCGUAUAUUAAAGUUGUUGCAGUUAAAAAGCUCGUAGUUGAAUUUCGGGAUUGACGUGAUGGUCGUGCCUUAAGGGGUAUGAACUGUCGCUGUUGAUUUCUCACCUUCUGGAGAAACUUGAUGUCCUUAAUUGGGUGUCUUGCGGAUCCAGGACCUUUACCUUGAAAAAUUAGAGUGUUUAAAGCAGGCAUUUUUGCUCGAAUACAUUAGCAUGGAAUAAUAGAAUAGGACGGCAUGGUUCUAUUUUGUUGGUUUCUAGGAUCACCGUAAUGAUUAAUAGGGAUAGUUGGGGGCAUUAGUAUUCAAUUGUCAGAGGUGAAAUUCUUGGAUUUAUUGAAGACUAACUACUGCGAAAGCAUUUGCCAAGGAUGUUUUCAUUAAUCAAGAACGAAAGUUAGGGGAUCGAAGACGAUCAGAUACCGUCGUAGUCUUAACCAUAAACUAUGCCGACUAGGAAUCAGACGAUGUUAAUUUUUUAAUGACUCGUUUGGU
rnacentral:misc_RNA from 1 species